rnacentral:rRNA from 1 species
UACAGAGGUCCCAAGCGUUGUUCGGAUUCACUGGGCGUAAAGGGCGCGUAGGUGGUUGGGGAAGCGUGUGGUGAAAGCCCGGGGCUCAACCCCGGGUCGGCCAUGCGAACUGCCCGACUGGAGCACGGUAGGGGCGAAUGGAAUUCCGGGUGUAGCGGUGGAAUGCGUAGAGAUCCGGAAGAACACCGGUGGCGAAGGCGGUUGGCUGGGCCGUGGCUGACACUGAGGCGCGACAGCGUGGGGAGCAAACAGG